CCGGAUUUAUUGGGCGUAAAGCGAGCGCAGGCGGUUUUUUAGGUCUGAUGUGAAAACCUUCGGCUUAACCGGAGAAGUGCAUCGGAAACCGGGAGACUUGAGUGCAGAAGAGGACAGUGGAACUCCAUGUGUAGCGGUGAAAUGCGUAGAUAUAUGGAAGAACACCAGUGGCGAAGGCGGCUGUCUGGUCUGCAACUGACGCUGAGGCUCGAAAGCAUGGGUAGCGAACAGGAUUAGAUACCCUGGUAGUCCAUGCCGUAAACGAUGAGUGCUAAGUGUUGGAGGGUUUCCGCCCUUCAGUGCUGCAGCUAACGCAUUAAGCACUCCGCCUGGGGAGUACGACCGCAAGGUUGAAACUCAAAGGAAUUGACGGGGGCCCGCACAAGCGGUGGAGCAUGUGGUUUAAUUCGAUGCUACGCGAAGAACCUUACCAGGUCUUGACAUCUUCUGCUAACCUAAGAGAUUAGGCGUUCCCUUCGGGGACGGAAUGACAGGUGGUGCAUGGUUGUCGUCAGCUCGUGUCGUGAGAUGUUGGGUUAAGUCCCGCAACGAGCGCAACCCUUAUUGUCAGUUGCCAGCAUUCAGUUGGGCACUCUGGCGAGACUGCCGGUGACAAACCGGAGGAAGGUGGGGAUGACGUCAAAUCAUCAUGCCCCUUAUGACCUGGGCUACACACGUGCUACAAUGGACGGUACAACGAGUCGCGAAACCGCGAGGUCAAGCUAAUCUCUGAAAGCCGUUCUCAGUUCGGAUUGCAGGCUGCAACUCGCCUGCAUGAAGUUGGAAUCGCUAGUAAUCGUGGAUCAGCAUGCCACGGUGAAUACGUUCCCGGGCCUUGUACACACCGCCCGUCACACCAUGAGAGUUUGUAACACCCAAAGCCGGUGAGGUAACCUUCGGGGGCCAGCCGUCUAAGGUGGGACAGAUGAUUAGGGUGAAGUCGUAACAAGGUAGCCGUAGGAGAACCUGCGGCUGGAUCACCUCCUUUCAA
rnacentral:rRNA from 1 species